rnacentral:lncRNA from 1 species
AGAAGAGUGUCAUGAGUGGCCUCAGCACAGGACAAGGCUGAGCAGCCCUGGAAGCAGCUCAGCCAAGCUUCCUGAAGGCAAGGAGGAAGGAUGGAGCUGGGAAGGGAACACUUUGGGGUGAAACGGUGGCUUUACUGAAGUCAGCGACAAAACCAGAGCGAAGGAGGACCCAGGGAGGUCAGUGUUUCUUUGGAGGACUUGUGUGAGGAAGAGAUUUAUAGUGGGGUUUUGAAGGGUCAUUCUGCUUGGCUCUGCUUGGUCAACCAGUAGGAAAUUACACUACUUUGUGGUUAUUUCUGCUGUAAAUUACUCGGCUACUCUUGGCGCUUGGUGUGCUGAGAAAAGCAGCAUCCCCCUCACUCCCAGCAAACGAACCCAUCGUAUUUGCUCUCCACUUGCUCACAGAAAGUAGGAAUGAACAGCCCAUAUCCUUGGUUAGCAAGAGAACGCGUGGCAGAGGGGGAGAUAUGAAGAACCAUAAGGAAUCGAAGCUGUACUGUACGGUGUUCAUUGUUCGCGAUUAAAGACAACUCCAACAGUGUGUUGCACUGAGCCAAUAGCUUCAAGCUAUUCCUAUUGUCCUCAAGGUUGCAGGCAACUUGCUUUGACUGCAUUUCGAUUCUUCCUUCGUGAUUUUACCUCAGAGGUUGGCACGUUAGGGUUGCAAAAGAAGAGCUCUAGUCAGAUCAAAAGAGGUGGCAAGCAUUGUCUGAACAGACGAGGCAUCUCUGGACGGCAUUUGAAAGCCUUUGAGCUUGUGUCCUGUCUGGUAAGAGGUUGCAAAUAUCAGAAAUCAGAAUUUCCAGCAGGUACUGCUGGGCCUUAUCACUGUAGCACUGACUUAAGAACAAGUAGCUGUAGUACAGGGGCACAAUCAGGGACACAAGAAACUCUUGGUGGGGUUGGAUGUACUGCUCCUGUUGGUGUAAGGGGAGACAUCAGAGUCUGUCCACAAAAUUAA